UACGGAGGGUGCGAGCGUUGUCCGGAAUCAUUGGGCGUAAAGGGCGCGUAGGUGGCGGGACAAGCGUGCGGUGAAAGCCUGGGGCUCAACCCCGGGUCGGCCGUGCGAACUGUUUUGCUUGAGCACUGUAGAGGCAGGCGGAAUUCCGGGUGUAGCGGUGGAAUGCGUAGAGAUCCGGAAGAACACCUGUGGUGUAGACGGCUUUCUGGACCAUAGCUGACGCUGAGACACGAAAGCGUGGGUAGCAAACAGG
rnacentral:rRNA from 1 species